rnacentral:rRNA from 1 species
CCUACGGGGGGCUGCAGUGGGGAAUAUUGCACAAUGGACGAAAGUCUGAUGCAGCAACGCCGCGUGCGGGAUGAAGGCCUUCGGGUUGUAAACCGCUUUCACCAGGGACGAAUGUGACGGUACCUGGAGAAGAAGCACCGGCUAACUACGUGCCAGCAGGCGGUUUGUUGCGUCGGAAGUGAAAACUUGGGGCUUAACUCCAAGCUUGCUUUCGAUACGGGCAGACUUGAGGGAGGUAGGGGAGAACGGAAUUCCUGGUGGAGCGGUGGAAUGCGCAGAUAUCAGGAGGAACACCGGUGGCGAAGGCGGUUCUCUGGACCUUUCCUGACGCUGAGGAGCGAAAGCGUGGGGAGCAAACAGGCUUAGAUACCCGUGUAGUC